rnacentral:rRNA from 1 species
ACCGAUAGCGUAUAGUACCGUGAGGGAAAGGUGAAAAGAACCCCGGGAGGGGAGUGAAAUAGAACCUGAAACUAUGUGCUUACAAGCGGUCAGAGCCCGCAAGGGUGAUGGCGUGCCUUUUGGAGAAUGAUCCUGCGAGUUACGUUCAGUGGCAAGGUUAAGUUUAACGGAGCCGAAGGGAAACCGAGUCUGAACAGGGCGAUUUUAGUCGCUGGGCGUAGACGCGAAACCUGGUGAUCUAAGCCUGUCCAGGGUGAAGCUGUGGUAAGACACAGUGGAGGCCCGAACUCACCGCCGUUGAAAAGUUGGGAGAUGAGGUAGGUUUAGGGGUGAAAAGCCAAUCGAACUAGGAGAUAGCUCGUUCUCUCCGAAAUGCAUUUAGGUGCAGCCUUGAGUGUUUAAUUAUGGGGGUAGAGCACUGAAUGGACUAGGGGGCGCAUUGCUUACUGAAUCCAAUCAAACUCCGAAUACCAUAAUUCAAGAGCUCAGGAGUGAGACUAUGGGAAUUAACUUCCAUUGUCAAAAGGGAAACAACCCAGACCACCAGCUAAGGUCCCUAAUCAUAACUAAGUGGGAAAGGAGGUGGAGAUUCAUAAACAACCAGGAGGUUGGCUUAGAAGCAGCCAUACCUUUAAAGAGUGCGUAAUAGCUCACUGGUCGAGAGUCUCUGCGCCGACAAUGUAACGGGGCUAAGUUAUGAACCGAAGCUGUGGAAUUGCGCAAGCAAUUGGUAGGAGAGCGUUCUGUAGGCCGUUGAAGGAGAAGCGUAAGCAACUCUGGAGGUAUCAGAAGUGAGAAUGCAGGAAUAAGUAGCGAGAAGGGAGGCGAGAAUCCUCCCCGCCGGAAGACCAAGGUUUUCAGGGUAAAGCUUGUCUUCCCUGAGUAAGCCGGGACCUAAGCCGAGGCUAUAGUGCGUAGGCGAAUGGAAAACAGAUUAAUAUUUCUGUGCCAGUCAUAUUUUGUGAUGGAGGGACGCAGAAGGGUAUGUACGCGGAAGAACGGUAGUUUCCGUAAAAGCAUGUAGAAUGACUUGAUAGGUAAAUCCGUCAAGUUAGAUUUGAGGUGUGAUAUAUAGUCGUAAGAUGAAUGUACAAAUCCCACGCUGCCGAGAAAAGCUUCUAACGUUAAGGUAUGACUGCCCGUACCCGAAACCGACACAGGUGGUCAGGAUGAGAAAUCUAAGGCGGACAGGCUAACUCUCGUUAAGGAACUCUGCAAAAUUGCCCCGUAACUUCGGGAGAAGGGGUGCCCCUGAGUGUGAGCAUACACGCGAUGUUAAGCGCUUGGGGGUCGCAGUGAAGAGGCUCAAGCAACUGUUUAACAAAAACACAGGUCUAUGCUAAGCUGUAAGGCGAUGUAUAUGGGCUGACACCUGCCCAGUGCCGGAAGGUUAAGAGGAGGAGUGAGAGCUCCGAAUUGAAGCCCCGGUGAACGGCGGCCGUAACUAUAACGGUCCUAAGGUAGCGAAAUUCCUUGUCGGGUAAGUUCCGACCUGCACGAAUGGUGUAAUGAUUUGAGCGCUGUCUUGACGGGAGGCCUGGUGAAAUUGUAUUACCGGUGAAGAUACCGGUUACCUACAGUAGGACGGAAAGACCCCAUGGAGCUUUACUGUAGCUUGGUAUUGGGUUUUGGCAUUGCAUGUAUAGGAUAGUUGGGAAACUAUGAUGGUAUGGCGCUAGCUAUAUCGGAGUUGUCGGUGGAAUACCAACCAUUCAAUGUUGAAAUUCUAAUCUGUGGUUUGGAGCCACGGAGACAGUGCUAGGUGGGCAGUUUGACUGGGGCGGUCGCCUCCGAAAGAGUAACGGAGGCGUUCAAAGGUUCUCUCAGGUUGGAUGGAAAUCAACCGCAGAGUGCAAUGGCAUAAGAGAGCUUGACUGCGAGACUGACGGGUCGAGCAGGUGCGAAAGCAGGACAUAGUGAUCCGGCGAUUCCGAAUGGAAGGAUCGUCGCUCAACGGAUAAAAGCUACCCUGGGGAUAACAGGCUGAUCCUACCCGAGAGUCCAUAUCGACGGUAGGGUUUGGCACCUCGAUGUCGGCUCAUCGCAUCCUGGGGCUGGAGAAGGUCCCAAGGGUUGGGCUGUUCGCCCAUUAAAGCGGUACGUGAGCUGGGUUCAGAACGUCGUGAGACAGUUCGGUCCCUAUCCACUGUAGGCGUUAGAAUAUUGAGAAGAUCUGUCCUUAGUACGAGAGGACCGGGAUGGACAAACCUCUGAUGUACCAGUUGUCACGCCAGUGGCACAGCUGGGUAGUCACGUUUGGAACAGAUAACCGCUGAAAGCAUCUAAGCGGGAAACUGACUUCAAGAUAAGUAUUCU